UUGCUUUUCUUGUUAUCUAGAGGACCAUGUAAGCUGAAGUCCUGAGAUUUCCACCACAUACUUGGGAUUACUUUCUACAGAUUGGUCUACAAGUUAUUGGAGGAAAAUUGGAGCGAUGGAAAAUAUUUUUCCUCUCCCCUACAGAUGUACCAAUAGUCGCGCAAACGGAAUGGGAGGGGGGAAUCAGUGUCCUGCGCUUGAACAACUUGAACAACACCAGGAGCAACAACGAAGCACAACAUGGAGGAGUAGUGUCAGUACAAUUGCAAAAAAUGACAGUACUGGUCGGUGAUUUUGUUGUUUGAGUUCUCUACUUCUCUGGAUGUCAGCUGAUAUCUAGAUGACAGAAGAAGCAUAUGUGACAUUUUCUGUAGACUAAGGGAAGCAUUAGCUGGGAUACCUUCGGAUCAAGGAGAACAAAUAUAUUAUAGGCAGCGCAACAUGUAUAUAUGCUCCUCCGGUGUGACCUGCAAGGUCUGCUGCUUCAUGCAGAUAUUGGCUGCGGGGCUACAACGGUUGGUGAUCA